UACGGGGGGGGCAAGCGUUGUUCGGAAUUACUGGGCGUAAAGGGCUCGUAGGCGGCCAACUAAGUCAGACGUGAAAUCCCUCGGCUUAACCGGGGAACUGCGUCUGAUACUGGAUGGCUUGAGUUUGGGAGAGGGAUGCGGAAUUCCAGGUGUAGCGGUGAAAUGCGUAGAUAUCUGGAGGAACACCGGUGGCGAAGGCGGCAUCCUGGACCAAUACGUGACACUGAGGAGCGAAAGCCAGGGGAGCAAACGGG
rnacentral:rRNA from 1 species